GUGAAUUCAAGUCGGUCUUCUGUGCUGGUGGCAACACAUGUGCACGUUGAUCGCAAAUCCACACACCUGUGCACCUUUGACUUUGAGACCUGCUUGUUGGCUUGUCUGACUUGCAGCUGACAUUGGCUUUGAUGCUUGUCUGGGUCUCAGAGUAAUUUUACACACUCUGAAUGUAAUGGAAUGCAUCUGUGCAUAAUGCGCAAAAAUA
rnacentral:misc_RNA from 2 species